ACUAGCCCAAGGUCACAGAGCAAGCUGGUAGCAGAGCCUGGUUGGAAAGUCUGUCCUUGGGGCUCCCUGUGCUUCUCACACUCCCCAUCGGUGUCUGUGACUUCUCCCCUCCGCACCUGUCCCACUGUAGAGCCUGUACGUGGCCAGCCUAUGCCAGCUCAGACGCCUUGAGUCAGCCAGACACUCACGCGUGUGUUCCCACGUGGCCGAGACCUUCCAGGGCAACGCAGUGGUCAGAGCCUUCCAGGCCCAGUGCCCCUUUGUGGCUCAGAAUGACACAAACGUGGACGAAAGCCAGAGAGUCAGUUUCCCACGGCUGGUGGCUGAGAGGUGGCUGGCUGCCAACAUAGAGCUGCUGGGAAACGUGCUGGUGUUGGCGGCCUCCGUGUGUGCCGUGCUGAGGAAGGCCCACCUUAGCGCCGGCCUCGUGGGCUUCUCGGUGUCCGCCACCCUCCAGAUGACGCAGACGCUACAGUGGGCUGUUCGCAGCUGGACGGACCUGGAGAGUAGCAUCAUGUCAGUGGAGCGGAUGAAGGACUAUG